rnacentral:rRNA from 1 species
GCUCAGAUUGAACGCUGGCGGCAGGCCUAACACAUGCAAGUCGAGCGGUAGCACAGAGAGCUUGCUCUCGGGUGACGAGCGGCGGACGGGUGAGUAAUGUCUGGGAAACUGCCUGAUGGAGGGGGAUAACUACUGGAAACGGUAGCUAAUACCGCAUAAUGUCGCAAGACCAAAGUGGGGGACCUUCGGGCCUCAUGCCAUCNAGAUGUGCCCAGAUGGGAUUAGCUAGUAGGUGGGGUAACGGCUCACCUAGGCGACGAUCCCUAGCUGGUCUGAGAGGAUGACCAGCCACACUGGAACUGAGACACGGUCCAGACUCCUACGGGAGGCAGCAGUGGGGAAUAUUGCACAAUGGGCGCAAGCCUGAUGCAGCCA